rnacentral:rRNA from 1 species
UACGUAGGGGGCAAGCGUUGUCCGGAUUUAUUGGGCGUAAAGAGCGUGUAGGCGGCCUGAAAGGUCAGCUGUGAAAACUCGAGGCUCAACCUCGAGACGUCGGUGGAAACCAUCUGACUAGAGUCCGGAAGAGGAGAGUGGAAUUCCUGGUGUAGCGGUGAAAUGCGCAGAUAUCAGGAAGAACACCCGUGGCUAAGGCGGCUCUCUAGUACGGUACUGGCGCUGAGACGCGAAAGCGUGGGGAGCGAACAGG